ACGGAAGGCAGCAGUGGGGAAUAUUGCACAAUGGGGGAAACCCUGAUGCAGCGACGCCGCGUGAGUGAAGAAGUAUUUCGGUAUGUAAAGCUCUAUCAGCAGGGAAGAUAAUGACGGUACCUGACUAAGAAGCCCCGGCUAACUACGUGCCAGCAGCCGCGGUAAUACGUAGGGGGCAAGCGUUAUCCGGAUUUACUGGGUGUAAAGGGAGCGCAGGUGGCAUGGCAAGUCAGAUGUGAAAGCCCGGGGCUCAACCCCGGGACUGCAUUUGAAACUGUCAAGCUAGAGUGCAGGAGAGGUAGGCGGAAUUCCUAGUGUAGCGGUGAAAUGCGUAGAUAUUAGGAGGAACACCAGUGGCGAAGGCGGCCUACUGGACUGUAACUGACACUGAGGCUCGAAAGCGUGGGGAGCAAACAGGAUUAGAUACCCUGGUA
rnacentral:rRNA from 1 species